GAUGAACGCUGGCGGCGUGCCUAAUACAUGCAAGUCGAGCGAACAGACGAGGAGCUUGCUCCUCUGAUGUUAGCGGCGGACGGGUGAGUAACACGUGGAUAACCUCCCUAUAAGACUGGGAUCACUUCGGGAAACCGGAGCUAAUACCGGCUACUAUAUUGAACCGCAUGGUUCAAUAGUGAAAGACGGUUUUGCUGUCACUUAUAGAUGGAUCCGCGCCGCAUUAGCUAGUUGGUAAGGUAACGGCUUACCAAGGCAACGAUGCGUAGCCGACCUGAGAGGGUGAUCGGCCACACUGGAACUGAGACACGGUCCAGACUCCUACGGGAGGCAGCAGUAGGGAAUCUUCCGCAAUGGGCGAAAGCCUGACGGAGCAACGCUGCGUGAGUGAUGAAGGUCUUCGGAUCGUAAAACUCUGUUAUAAGGGAAGAACAAAUGUGUAAGAAUCUAUGCACGUCUUGACGGUACCUAAACAGAAAGCCACGGCUAACUACGUG
rnacentral:rRNA from 1 species